rnacentral:rRNA from 1 species
AUGUACCGGGGUGUUCGGCAGCGCAGGUGGGGCAGGUGGGCCUCUGAAGUCCGUGAGCCCAACCGCGGCAAGCGACACUGGCUGGGCACCUUCGACAACGCCGUUGACGCCGCCCUCGCAUACGACAGGGCCGCCGUGGCCAUCUUUGGCUCCCGCGCAAUCGUCAACUUCCCA